rnacentral:rRNA from 1 species
GACGAACGCUGGCGGCGUGCUUAACACAUGCAAGUCGAACGGAAAGGCCCUGCUUUUAUGGGGUGCUCGAGUGGCGAACGGGUGAGUAACACGUGAGUAACCUGCCCUUGACUUUGGGAUAACUUCAGGAAACUGGGGCUAAUACCGGAUAGGAGCUCCUGCUGCAUGGUGGGGGUUGGAAAGUUUCGGCGGUUGGGGAUGGACUCGCGGCUUAUCAGCUUGUUGGUGGGGUAGUGGCUUACCAAGGCUUUGACGGGUAGCCGGCCUGAGAGGGUGACCGGGCCGGGUGGGAGAGAGGGACGGCCCAGUGAGGAAGGGGGGGGAGGAGGGGAGAAUGAGGCACAGGGGGGGAAAGCCGGAGCCACCAGGCCGGGGAGGGGGAUGGCGGCGCGGGGCUCGUAACCCGCGUGCGACGAGGACGAGGGGGUGGUGACGGAAAUGGGUAAAGAAGCACCGCCACAAUACGCGCCAACGGCCACGGUAAGAAGCGGAAGAGCAAACGUCUGCAC